rnacentral:rRNA from 1 species
UGCAAGUCGAACGGCAAGAGGUAGCAAUACCUCCGUAGAGUGGCGGACUGGUGAGUAACACGUGGGUGACAUACCCUUCAGAUGGGGAUAGCUAUUAGAAAUAGUAGAUAAUACCGAAUACGAGCACAGGGGUUAGAGAUCUGUGAGGAAAGGAGCUAAGGCUCCGCUGAAGGAAUGGCCUGCGGCCCAUUAGCUAGUUGGUGAGGUAAGAGCCCACCAAGGCGAUGAUGGGUAUCCGGCCUUAGAGGGUGAACGGACACAUUGGGACUGAGAUACGGCCCAGACUCCUACGGGAGGCAGCAGCUAAGAAUAUUCCGCAAUGGACGAAAGUCUGACGGAGCGACGCCGCGUGGAUGAAGAAGGCCGGAAGGUUGUAAAAAUCCUUUUGAAACUGAAGAAUAAGCGUUGUAGGGAAUGACAGCGUGGUGACAGUAGGUUUUGAAUAAGCAACGGCUAAUUACGUGCCAGCCGCUGC